rnacentral:rRNA from 1 species
UACGGGGGGUGCGAGCGUUGUCCGGAAUCACUGGGCGUAAAGGGCGCGUAGGUGGUUUGAUAAGGGUGUGGUGAAAGUCCGGGGCUCAACCCCGGAUCUGCCGUGCCGACUGUCAAACUCGAGGACUGUAGAGGCAGGUGGAAUUCCGGGUGUAGCGGUGGAAUGCGUAGAGAUCCGGAGGAACACCAGAGGCGAAGGCGGCCGGCUGGACCUGACCUGACGCUGAGGCGCGAAGGCGUGGGGAGCGAACGGG